AGCAUGUUCCUUAGAUCCACCAGAUGGGACUCAGUCCACCAACUUUUCCGGUUGGGUAGCGCUGGUGAAUGAGUCAUUGACAUGCGAGACAAUGGUAUCUCCUCUGUCAACCAGACCUCUCUAGUCACU